rnacentral:lncRNA from 1 species
CAUCAGGAACAUCUUGUGAGCACAUUUGGCUACUCCUGCAGGCCAGGUGAAGAAGAGAAUUAACAUCCCAUUUUCAGCUACCGGUGCCAUGACGCUACUCCUGACAUUGCUGCUGGUGCUAUAAAAGCAGGCUGUGGCGCCUGCUGUGAAAAGGACUUUUCUGAGGAAACAAACCAGUGAAGAAGUGACAGUGACCAGACCUGGACUAACAAAGCUCUAAUAAGGU